UACAGAGGGGGCAAGCGUUAUUCGGAAUUAUUGGGCGUAAAGGGCGCGUAGGCGGCUUAGCAAGUGACGGGUGAAAUCCCUCGGCUUAACCGAGGAACUGCCUGUCAAACUGCAUGGCUUGAGACCGAGAGAGGUGAGUGGAAUUCCUAGUGUAGAGGUGAAAUUCGUAGAUAUUAGGAAGAACACCAGUGGCGAAGGCGGCUCACUGGCUCGGUACUGACGCUGAGGCGCGAAAGCGUGGGGAGCAAACAGG
rnacentral:rRNA from 1 species